rnacentral:lncRNA from 1 species
CACUUCUGUACCAUUCUAUCUUAAUGAUGUGUACAGACUCUGCAUUUCUUUCUCUUUCCUUUGCUAGCUACUUCCGUGUACCAAAGAAAUUGGGCAUAGGAGAGGCAUGAGAAAGCUUUGCCAUUACAUUAUAUGAGAACCAGUUUGGGAUCCCUUCGGGAGUACGGAUGCUUCAGGCCUGACCCGCGCGCUGUGAGUGAAGCGCCGAUUCCCUUCCCAGCUUCCUUCGGUCCAUGUCCCCGGCUCUCGCCUUCUGAAGUUAUCCCGGGACUGACUGACGAUGAGUUCUUUCGUCGGCGGCAAGAAAGAGGACAAAGGCAAGAACAUCCAGGUGGUGGUGAGAUGCAGGUAAGUCCUAGCGGGGCGUCGCCUCCCGUGGCCAAGGGAUUGUCACUUCACGCGGGAGGAGG